UACGGAGGGGGCUAGCGUUGUUCGGAAUUACUGGGCGUAAAGCGCACGUAGGCGGCGCCGUAAGUCAGGGGUGAAAUCCCGGAGCUCAACUCCGGAACUGCCCUUGAAACUGCAGUGCUAGAAUUCUGGAGAGGCGAGUGGAAUUCCGAGUGUAGAGGUGAAAUUCGUAGAUAUUCGGAAGAACACCAGUGGCGAAGGCGACUCGCUGGACAGACAUUGACGCUGAGGUGCGAAAGCGUGGGGAGCAAACAGG
rnacentral:rRNA from 1 species